GCCAGGGUCAUCAGUCGUUCAGAAUAAAUUUUCCAUGUAUACCUCUCGUAAAUCCUUUGGAGCCCCGCUUCAGAGAUUCGAAUCCAAUGACUCGGAUCCUCCUUGCACUUCUCAAAGAAAUCUACUAAAAGAGCACUAGCUUGGUCUGGAUGAUAAGGGUCAAUGUGAAAUCCAGAUAUGCCAUGUUCAAUAAUUUCAGCAGGACCACCAUGGCAGGUAGCA
rnacentral:misc_RNA from 1 species